UCUCCGCUUGCGCCGGCAGUCUCUCUAGAGUCCCCGACAUUACUCGCUGGCAACUAGAGACGGGGGUUGCGCUCGUUGCGGGACUUAACCCAACACCUCACGGCACGAGCUGACGACAGCCAUGCAACACCUAUCGCAGGCCCUUACGGACACCGCGUUUCCGCGGCUUUUCCUGCGUAGUUCAGCCCAGGUAAGGUUCUUCGCGUUACAUCGAAUUAAGCCACAUGCUCCGCCGCUUGUGCGGGUCCCCGUCAAUUCCUUUGAGUCUUAGCCUUGCGGCCGUAGUCCCCAGGCGGCGGACUUAAUGCGUUAGCUGCGGCGCCGAGGGGGUCGAUACCCCCGACACCUAGUCCGCAUCGUUUACGGCGUGGACUAC
rnacentral:misc_RNA from 1 species